rnacentral:rRNA from 1 species
GAUGAACGCUGGCGGCGUGCCUAAUACAUGCAAGUCGAGCGAACAGACGAGGAGCUUGCUCCUCUGACGUUAGCGGCGGACGGGUGAGUAACACGUGGAUAACCUACCUAUAAGACUGGGAUAACUUCGGGAAACCGGAGCUAAUACCGGAUAAUAUAUUGAACCGCAUGGUUCAAUAGUGAAAGACGGUUUUGCUGUCACUUAUAGAUGGAUCCGCGCCGCAUUAGCUAGUUGGUAAGGUAACGGCUUACCAAGGCGACGAUGCGUAGCCGACCUGCGAGGGUGAUCGGCCACACUGGAACUGAGACACGGUCCAGACUCCUACGGGAGGCAGCAGUAGGGAAUCUUACGCAAUGGGCGAAAGCCUGACGGAGCAACGCCGCGUGAGUGAUGAAGGUCUUCGGAUCGUAAAACUCUGUUAUUAGGGAAGAACAAAUGUGUAAGUAACUAUGCACGUCUUGACGGUACCUAAUCAGAAAGCCACGGCUAACUACGUG